AGCGAACGCUGGCGGCAGGCCUAACACAUGCAAGUCGAACGAACUCUUCGGAGUUAGUGGCGGACGGGUGAGUAACACGUGGGAACGCGCCUUUAGGUUCGGGAUAGCUCAGGGAAAGUUGUUCUAAUACCGAAUGUGCCCUUAGGGGGACAGAUUUAUCGCCUUUAUAGCGGCCCGCGUCUGAUUAGCUAGUUGGUGAGGUAAAGGCUCACCAAGGCCUCGAUCAGUAGCUGGUCUCAGAGGAUGAUCAGCCACAUUGGGACUGGGACACGGCCCAAACUCCUACGGGAGGCAGCAGUGUGGAAUCUUGCGCAAUGGGCGAAAGCCUGACGCAGCCAUGCCGGGUAAAUGAUGAAAGUCUUAGGAUUGUAAAAUUCUUUCACCGGGGACCAUAAUGACGGUACCCGGAGAAGAAGCCCCGGCUAACUUCGUGCCAGCAGCCGCGGUAA
rnacentral:rRNA from 1 species